rnacentral:rRNA from 1 species
AUUAAACGCUGGCGGCAUGCCUUACACAUGCAAGUCGAACGGUAGCGCGGGGCAACCUGGCGACGAGUGGCGAACGGGUGAGUAAAGCAUCGGAACGUGCCCUGGAAUGGGGGAUAACGUAGCGAAAGUUACGCUAAUACCGCAUAUUCUGUGAGCAGGAAAGCAGGGGAUCGCAAGACCUUGCGUUCUGGGAGCGGCCGAUGUCGGAUUAGCUAGUUGGUGGGGUAAAAGCCUACCAAAGGCGACGAUCCGUAGCGGGUCUGAGAGGAUGAUCCGCCACACUGGGACUGAGACACGGCCCAGACUCCUACGGAGGCAGCAGUGGGGAAUUUUGGACAAUGGCGGAAGGCCUGAUCCAGCACUGCGCCGUGAGUGAAGAA